CUUUAGAAAUGAAGAUUAAUCCCCCAUAGUCUCUUAGAGUGGCAUCACUUCUAGAGUAAAGGUUACGGUAUAAGAUGAGUAUGCGUUCUAUUAGUUUGUUGGUGUGGUAACGGCACACCAAGACUACGAUAGAUAGGGGCCCUGAGAGGGGGAUCCCCCACACUGGUACUGAGACACGGACCAGACUCCUACGGGAGGCAGCAGUGAGGAAUAUUGGACAAUGGAGGCAACUCUGAUCCAGCCAUGCCGCGUGCAGGAAGACUGCCCUAUGGGUUGUAAACUGCUUUUAUACAGGAAGAAACACCUCUACGUGUAGAGGCUUGACGGUACUGUAAAAAUAAGG
rnacentral:rRNA from 1 species